rnacentral:rRNA from 1 species
UGGUGAUUCAUGAUAACUUCUCAGAUCGCACGGCCUUGCGCCGGCGACGGUUCAUUCAAAUUUCUGCCCUAUCAACUUUCGAUGGUAAGGUAUUGGCUUACCAUGGUUUCAACGGGUAACGGGGAAUUAGGGUUCGAUUCCGGAGAGCGAGCCUGAGAAACGGCUAGCACAUCCAAGGAAGGCAGCAGGCGCGCAAAUUACCCAAUCCCGACACGGGGAGGUAGUGACAAUAAAUACUGAUACAGGGCUCUUUUGGGUCUUGUAAUUGGAAUGAGUACAAUUUAAACCUCUUAACGAGGAACAAUUGGAGGGCAAGUCUGGUGCCAGCAGCCGCGGUAAUUCCAGCUCCAAUAGCGUAUAUUAAAGUUGUUGCAGUUAAAAAGCUCGUAGUUGACCAUUUGGCCUGGCUGGCGGGUCCGCCUCACCGCGUGCACUUGUCCGGCCGGGCCUUUCUUUCUGGAGAACCGCAUGCCCUUCACUGGGCGUGUUGGGGACCAGGACUUUUACUUUGAAAAAAUUAGAGUGUUCAAAGCAGGCCUUUGCUCGAAUACGUUAGCAUGGAAUAAUAGAAUAGGACGCGCGGUCCUAUUUUGUUGGUUUCUAGGACCGCCGUAAUGAUUAAUAGGACAGUCG